AGGAAAAUGUGUUCUCAUACUUCUCAUAAAAAAAUCAGUUCGCAUAUCAAUGUGUACUUAGCUAUGUUUAAUCGCGGGUCGCGAGGUGUUAUCUAUAGUCAUAAAAGGUUAACAUCCAAAUUUUUUUGAUUAGUACACAACUGAUUUUUGUGAAGUGCAGUACCUAUUUACAACAAUGAAAGCCGCUUUGAUUAUUUCAUUGGCCUUGAUGGUGAUGGUCGCCGCUCAAGAGCCCGUGAACAUUGUGGACCCAGCCCUUUUUGAUCCGGCCUUUUCUCAACCCAGCAUCUACGACAGUAAGUAAAUAAUUUUGAAAAAUU